UAUGAAUUAAAUUUUAUUAAUUUUAUACGAGGCUGACCAACUGUGAAAUUUCGUAGAAACCGACUAUCAUUUCGCUUACGUAGCGUCAUGUCUCUGUGGUGUGGCGUAUAGAGCGUUUUCUUGCUAUGCAGGCGACCCGGGUUCAAAUCCUACUAAG
rnacentral:lncRNA from 1 species